UUUUUUAUUGUCUCUGUACUCGGCUGUUCAGCUUGUGCAGCUAAUGAUCUAAUGUAUUUUGUGGUAACUAUGUAUUUUUCGGAUGUGUGCCGAGUAUUAUCCCCUUUGUUUAUUCUGUUGGCUUGCUUUCAUUGAUCUUAAGAUAACUGGUGCUAUAAAUUCACACUAGCUGAUGCACUUGCAAAUAGCUAUGUAAAUAUGAAAAGAAGUAUUUUUUUAUCCUUUUGUUUGUUUGGCAUCAUAUCUGUUUAAAUGGCAUAGCAAUAAGAAUUUUUUGUUUUUGGGGAAUCAUAUCUGCUUAAAUGGUAUAGAAAAUGCUGAGUGCACUGUCAAAUAGAUUUUCCAGCAGUCUGCUUUCAGUUGUUUUUGCAAAUCCUCACAGGCCAGUGAACUGACUUUGUUUUUACCACCCCAUGCCAUCUAAAUGACUAAAUCAGUCAGCCUAAUACUAUAUAUGGUCAUGCUAUGAUCUUAUUUCUUGAAGCUCUAUAGGUCAACCCAUAAGGGUAACUUAGUUUUUCCUAUUCUGGCUGGGGAAGUGGAUACGAUGGCUAUCCUUGGUAGAGUUAAAUACAUUGGCGGCUCUUAGCGCGCCAAUGUGGCACCACAAUAUCGAACAUAUGUAGAAACCCCCUUGUUUUUUCUCAUAUCCCUCUCUCUCAGCGUCCUCUUCUCUUCUUCUCCUCUGUCUCCUCCCCUCCCAUCGCGUGCUUUAUUGCGCCGCCGCCAUCCGCCUCCAUGUAUGAACACGUCGUUUGUCAUGAAGAAGCAGUUGAUGAGGCAAUCAAGCAUGUGGUGCACAAGGUUCUUCUGCUGGCCAAGUCCGAGUCGAACAGCCGCGCAUUCAUUGGGGAAGCACGCGCCAGGCAUCACCAGGCUCCUCGUGCCCCUACUCUGCUCCAAGGACUCGGUGCUUCGACGCGCUGCUUUCCCUGUCCGGCGAGCGGGGAUCGUUGGGAGAUGAUCGAUGGAGGAUGGAGCUGAUCCUCCUGUACACGGUGCCGGUGGGGAGCAGGGAGCUGCGGAGCAGGUCCACGGGCGGCGCCAUUACAGCAGGUGCAGGCUAAGGGUAAUGAGCAGAUCGAGGCGAUGGAGGAGGACCCGCACGAGGUGCAGCUUCUUCGCCUCCUGCGCAAGGUCAGCGCCCAAGCAGCCGCUGAGGGACAGGCCGAGGCUUAGCUCGAUCUCAUCCGACUAAAUGGUGGCUGCACUCCCACAGUCCCACUGGUGCUCCUCCCUUCUGUCCGAACCUGCCGAGGAAAUCCCUCGAUGCCAUGGGUCCCGGCUGGACGACUACUCCUCCCACAGAUUGACUGAGGAAGAAGAGCUUCUCAGUGUCCAAAAAUUCAGUUACACUGGAAACAGCAACCAAUUACGUCCUUCCGGCUCAGCCAAGCCCCAAUCUCCUUGCUUCUGUGCGCCCCUGCUAAAUAUUCCAGAAACCAAUCUGGUUAGUUGUUUUUUCACAUUUUCAGUGCAUGCCGGUGCUGCUGUGUGCGGCAUGCAUGGAGUUGUCGUGGGAGUGCACGGUGGCUUAGCUGGUGCGCCAGUGCGCGGGCACGAACACAACGGUGAAGAUGGCAGGGCCAUCUCAAAGCUCCUGAGCACCUGCACGCGUCGCUGAGCAGGACAUGCUGCGACGGUGGGCGAGCGCUGCUAACGCCCUGGGGAAGAGCAGUGGGUGCAGAGAGAGGGAGCGAGGGAGAGGGGUUCUUGUAUAUGUUUGCUAGCGUGGCACCGUUUACGGUGCCCGCCUAAGUGGCAUUCACGUGUCAUUCAUCCCAAAUGGUGUUGCAAGGUUGAACCUAUUGUGGGAGGCUUUUGGUUUCCCUUGACCAAGUAUCACCAGUGAUAUCACUGCGUUCUGGUUAUGUACGAAACACUUGUCCUUUUAAAACCUUUCUGAAUUUAGAAACGAAUUUGAAACAUUACCCUCAUUUCCAUGUUUUUCUAUCUUUUGUCCCUGUAAAAUCAAACUAAAUUUGAAUUAUUAUGUUCAGAACUACAAGCUGAUUUACUUGUCCCAUUUGCUAAUAACAGGGCCUUGUGAUUUCUAAUGAACAUUGCAGAGCAUGUUAUAAAGCGUAUGCAUGAACACCAAGGGGAUGAAACCAUUGGUAUAUUUCUCAUAACCUUUUGAACUUAUCAUUUAGCAUAUUUGUGUUCUAGUGUGACGUUUCAGCCACGAGACAUGAGAAAUGUUAGCUAUGGAUUUUGGUUAUUCAUCAUGGGUUCACAGAUUUGUUUUUCUCUAAAAGAAUUGGGAAGUAGCUUUCUUUCUGGGUAUAUGUGGGGAAAUGCAUAUGCAAUCUUUUAUUUAUUGAGGUGACUGUAAAAUUCUUGUCUGACUGAAUAUGCGAUUUCAACCUACAUGCUAUACUUAGGGAAAUUUGUGAAUCUCCUAAUGUCUGCUGCAUGGCAUGAAUGCAUAUUUUACUGGUCCAUAAUGUGAAGUUCUGUAUAUAAACUUCUCGUGUUGACCCUUUAGAACAUGCUAACUGGAGAGUUUUCUAGAGUAGUUAAACAAGAGAUUUAGUUAAAUCUGCACACAUAGGUGGGGCCUGGCAUACCCUAAGAAUCGGCCUAGCCGGCCAGCCCAUUAGUAAAAAAAAAAGCACCGCAGUCAGCAGUCCCCACGUUGGUCUUCCUCGAGUCGCGACUCGCGAAGAUCCCAUCCUCCGAGUCCAAGAUGGUGGACUGUGUCGAGCGCGGGGCGGGCGAUUAGUUGCCCGGCCGCCGGCGGGGGAUGGCCGGACGGCCAGAUCGCCGACUCCUCUAGUCCUCCCUCCAGCCUCUGCGCUUCUUUCACAGUGGAGCUAGCGGCGAGGCGCCCGACCGACACCCUUCUUCCCAAAUCCCGGCAGCCCUGCCUCGAUUUGGCCUCCUCCGAUCAUUUGAUAAUCAAUUUGAUGAAAUUAAUAUGGAGUUGCUUUCUUGUAUGGUUGCCUUCAAUCCUGCUAAUUCAUUUGCUUCAUUUGAUGCACAAAAGAUACACAGACUUGCUAUAUUUUUAUCCACAAGACAUCACAAGCACGGAUUUGCUAAAACUUGAAUUCCAGCUCGAUAUUAUAUUGAUGAUGUGAGAUAGGAUGAUAGUUUCAAAGGCCUACAAGAUCUUGUUAACUGAGACUCAGUUAAGCUUGUUGAAACAAACAGGCAUAAUAUUUAUGACUUGGUUUACUUGCUUCUCAAAUUGGUAUUGGUUCUUCCUGUGGCGACAGCUAGUGUUGAAAGGGAUUUUUGUGCAAUGACUUUGAUCAAGAGUAAGCUAAGAAAUAAGAUGGGUGAUAGUCUUUUGGAUGAUUGUCUUAUCACAUUCAUUGAGAAAGAUAUUUUCUUUGAAGUGGAUGAAGAAGAUAUAAUUAAGACUUCAUAUCCAUUAGAAAUCAUAGGCUGGAGAAGAAGUAAUAUUUUAAUUUUCUUUGAACGUUAGGUCUGUAAGCUUCUUUUAAACUAUCUACAUUAUAAUUUAUGGACCUUUUAAUUUAACCGUUGAAUUCAUGAUAUUAUGAGAUUUUUUUAUCUAUGUUAUUAUUGUUUACCGAUUUAUUACCAAAUUAUUAGUUUGAUCUUACAAUAUUGUAUUUUGGAUGAUUGGCUCGGCAUACUCUAAGUUUAAAUCCUAGCUCCGCCACUGUUUGCACAUUAAUGUGGCUUAUAUGUGUGGAGUCACUUAACCUAUGCACUUGGACCUCCACUCCCUUAGGUUUUAUGAACCUAAUUUGACAGCCUGCUCGUCUUUUAUUUUCUACCAAUCAGCUAGGAACGAACAUGGUGAUGUUUGCAUCUCUUGCAUCAAUGGCUUACAUGUCAUUAUGUAUCACAUUAGCAAGUCUUGUUUUGUUAUUGGCUGGGAUGACGGGGACUCUAGCUGGAAUUGAAUCAAAGUGGUAGAUCACAGGGUAUUCAUUGCCAUGUAUUUCUGCAGUUGCAUGGACUUGCAUCAAACGGACCUUCCUACUUAUGUGAUUGUCCUAUAUGAUCUCCUUUGAUUUCAUUUGCACACUGUAAUCACAUUAGCUAGAACACUCGCUUUUUGCUUCAAAUUUGAAAUUCAUAUCAUGAUGGACUAGAACGCUGAAUUUCUUGAUUGCUGAGUUACUAAUCACAUUGUGGCGCUGCCAAAGAAGCUGGACUCUUCAUUGUUGUUGCCUUGUGGGCUGCCGUGUGCAAAGAACAAGAGCGCACGGUAUUAUAAUAGCAGAGCUGAACACAGACAAGCGACAAGGAGCGGAGCAGAGCAGAGCACAGCCAAGCACAAGCAGUAGAGUAGAGCAGAGCAACCGGGAGAGGAGAGGGCACAUAUGCAGAGUAGAGCAGAGCCAAGCGCAAGCAUUCAUGCACUCAAGCAUGCAGCAGAGGUGUAGCAAGGCAAGCACAAGCAGCAGAGCAGAGGGAAGGGAAGGCUGGGAGAUGAAUAGGCGAAUAGUUACCUGGACAGAGCAGAGGGAAUGGAGAUGAUGCAGAUGCUUCCGGAGACUGGAGAUUUGGAGAGGAACAAGGCCACGUUGUGAACAAGGUCUCCUUUCUCUUCUCUAUUUCCCGCGCAAGUACUUGUGCAUAGUGGCUGCCUCAUCCUCCAGGACGCCCACUUCAACCUGAGGCGGGUGCCACAGACAUCCUGGCUAUGCGACGGCUACCCCCAGCACACCCCCAGCGCCUAUGAACCAUGAUCCUAAUACUAUAAAUUGUCAACCUUGUAAUCUUAUUUCAAGCAUGCUUUCUAUGUCAACCUGUAAGGUUAAUUUCGUUUUUCCUUUUCUGGGUAGGGGAGUGGAUAUUGCUGUUAUUUAUAUUAUGUUGAUAUUGGUUUCCACAUGUCAUUCACCCCAAAUGUGUUGCAAGGUUGAACCUAUCAUCGGAGGAAUUUUUUUCCCUUUACCUUUAUAUCACUACGCUCUGGUUAUGUAUGAAACACUUGUCUUCUUAAAAACCUUAAUUUAGAAACAAAUUUGAAACACUAUCUUCAUUUACAUCCUGUAUGUGUUUUCUACCUUUUGUCCUAUAUGAUCUGCUUUGAUUUGAUUUGUGCAUAGUUUUUUCAAUUCAGACCUGGUGAUCUCUGAGGUUCAUGUUGUGCUGAUAAGCAGCCUACUAUUCAGUAACACUUUCAUGUGGCAUGUUCAUGUUAGCUAGCUAGAAACACUGCUUUUAGCUUCAAAAUUCAAAUUCAUGACAUGAUGGACAUUGACAAUGAAUUUCUUGAUUGCCGAGCUAUGUACACUGUAAUUCAGACCUGGUGCUUUUAGUUUUUUUCUUGAUUGCCGAGCUAGAAACACUGUGCUUUUAGUUUUUUCAAUUCAGACCUGGUGAUUUCGGUUUUUUCAAUUCAGACCUGGUGAUUUCUGAGGUUCACGUGUCACACCGAUUUUAAGAACAAAAUCGAGUGCAUUAAAUAUACAUGUACGCUAGGAUCAGGUUACACACAUGUACGACAUAAGCGAAUAUCAAAGACAAUGCCAUAACGAAAUAAAGAGAGUAUUAAUCAUUAUUACAUGACCGAAAGUCUCAAAUAAACCACAAAAUCUAUUUAUUACAUAGCGGAACUCCUAAGAUAGCAACGUCUCCACAGGCAGCUGACUGAAGAACUGUAUGCCUAGAACUCUUCAAAAUCGUGCAGGUACUCCUCCAGAUUAGCUUGGUAUGAACAACGGUUUUGCAAGGGUGAGUACACUUAUGGUUGGUACUUAAUAAGUCGUGGGAAACAAUGUAGUGUAAGGCAAAUCAAGGUAUGGCUAAGGCUUAAACAGCAUCAGCUUUUAAUUUAGUUGGUCAAAUUUUAUUAGCAAUUAAUUAGACGUAAAUUUAUACCACCCGAAAUUAAACAAGAACAUGAAUAAAAUAAUAACAUAACCAUAAAUGAAAUGACAACAAUUUAAAUCCAUCUUUUCAUAGCAUUAUCAUGUGAGGGUCCAGUCCGCUCUUAACCGUGAGCACCGCUGAUCGAUCAGUUUUACACUCUGCAGAGGUUGUACAUCUUUACCCACAAGUCGCGUAAAAGUUCAAAAGAAUUUUGGACCCAACCAUGCGGUGUUUGCAAGGCACCAUACCACACUUCCAAGGUGUGAUUGCAUAUGAACGCUACGAGGCCUUUACAAAGAUUCAUUAGUAAGUGGUAACCCGCUAAAGUUUCGGUAUUUGGCGUGCACAACCUAUCACAGGCCGCUAAUGCAACGACUCAGUCCCCCCUCUUGCCUCAUCACGAGUAAGAUUACCCCAGACUAAGGUUUCUAAUUAUUCAGCCAAGAUCAGAACCAUUUAGUCUUGUGGUAGCACUGUUUUCUUGGGUGGUUCUCCAUGUUCCGAUUAAACAUAAUGGUCUUGUAUUAAUGGAAGGUAUAACAUAAAUAAUACCAAAUUAAUAAUAAUUCAGAUUAAAUCACCAUAACCAUAUUUGAGCACUAAGCAUGAGCUACCCAACAUAAAUUUAACCCGGUUGGUCAAGGCAAGGUAGAUAAAGUCUAGGAAAUUCUUAAUUGGGACCCAUCAAGUUUAAAUUAUACUUUGCAUGGUAUUGUUGCAUAGAACAUGAAAGUAAAUGUGAAUAGGACUGAAAAGGAGUGAUUAGGGACACGACUUGCCUUUUUAACCUUGUUCUUGCUGUUCGUACUCCUCGAAAACUUUGAUCUUCAAAUCCCUCGAACUGCUGACCGUCUACACGCGUCACACGACCACAUACAAGCAAACAAAUAUAAUACAUAAGAAAACAGUACACCAAUCAUAAUUAAAUAGAAGAAACAAAUUUGAAAAGCUAUUCUACGCAUUAAAACGAAAACACGGAUACAAGGAACGUUAAAAACGGAGCUACAGUGCAAAAACUACGCUUAAAACAAGAUGCAGGGGUAUAACUACGAGAAACCAAACUUCCAGGGAUUUAAUUUUAAAUAAUUUUGAACUGCAGAAGGGGCAGCAGGGAAAAACGUAGAAAAUGCAGGGGCUUAAGCGCAAAAGCAUGGCUGCUGACUCAGCUGACUUGAUGUGGAUCGUCGGAUGGCGAUCCGGCGGCCGGCAGCUGCUGCGCUGACGUCAGCGACGGCGAGCGCCGGCGAAAAACGGCAGUUCGCCGGAAUCGCCCGGGAACGCGCGACUGGGUGCAGAUUUGAGCGAGGAUUAGACUAGCAGAUAGAAACGAGCGCAGUGAACUCAUUUGGGAUGCCUACGGCGAGGACUUGGCGACGGCAUCGGCUCCGGCGAGAACUUGCGGCAGGGAAACCAAAUAAAAUAAAAUAACACGGUUCAGAGAAGCGGCGCUGGAGGAACGCGAGCGAUUUUGCGUGCGAGCGGAAGAAAACACUGCGAGGAAGAUGACUGCGGGCCCUGCUUGUCUGCGGCAGGAGGAGAGCUGCGUGCGAGAAGAACCUGGCCACGAUCUGGGCCGUUGCCUUCGAUCUGGGCCGAGGCAAGCUAGCUGGCCCGCUGCUGCGGAAAGGUGCUGGGCCACGGGCGGAGCACAGCGUCGGGCCAGAAAGGAGAUGGCUGCUGCGAGGAAACAAAAGAAAAUGAACUGGGCUGCGACAGAGGAAAACUGGGCGUCGGCCAGAAAGAAGCUGCGUGCAGCUUGCUCUUGUUUCCGAACUAGAAACAGGAACUGACGGAAAGACAGAAAUCAAUUGGAGACUGAAACUGACGCCCCAGACUCUGAACUUCGAAAAAACAGGACAACCAGCCAACUGACAGAAAAAAAAAAAGCUUAACAACCCAAAAGCAGUACACAACCACGAAACCAGGCCACAAGACUGAAAAAGCUUGAUAGGAACAUCUGGCGACUGAACCAAAAAACUACAGAACUGCAACUGAAGAACUAGAGAACAGAUAAAUAACUGAUUGAACUCUGAAACUGAAACACCAAAGAGCAGGAAGCUGACUGACGGAAAAUGCAAAACAGCAACCCAAGGUGAAACACAAAUCCUUCUUCAAGCAUUCAAACAAAGAGAUAUGCAACAGCAUGAAUGCUCAAUAAAAUCCUAUAUUUCAUUAAUUAAUUAGAAAAAAUGCUCAAAUGCCUAGAAAAAUGCAAAAGUGACCUUAUAUACCUUAAACAAGCAAAUUCGUUUCUAGCGAUUUUUGGUAAAAUGCAAAAUUAGAGAUUUUGGGUGUUACAUCAUGUUGUGCUGAUAAGCAGCCUACUAUUCAGUAACACUUUCAUGUGGCAUGUUCAUGUUAGCUAGCUAGAAACACUGUGCUUUUAGCUUCAAAAUUAAAUUCAUGACAUGAUGGACAUUGACAAUGAAUUUCUUGAUUGCCGAGCUAUGUACACUGUAAUCACAUUGUGGGGCUGAUAAAAUAAGCAGCGUUGAGACACAUAACAAUUGAAUCUUAAGCUUCACACAGAAUCUGGACCAGUCAUCCUCAUUCCUGUCAUGCUGGAAAUGUCUUUGAUACAUUUCAAUCACAGGCAAUUGAAUUCGUACUGGGGAGGAUGGCAAUGGUGCGUGAAGAGAGAUCAAUGUGGCAAAUCUCACAUUGUUCAUUACCAGGUAUCUCCGAUUUCUGGUUAUUUUAAAUUUACCUUGACAUGUGACUUAUUGAGGUAUUGUAUUUCAUCUAAUGGUAGUUCUGAAUUUAUGGUAACCUUGGAUGGGGUUUGUCACUUUAUACACGCACGGACUUACAAAGGACAGCAAAUGAGUAUAUUUAGAGGGCUCCUGUCCAACCAUGGACUAUACUUAUGUACCCUUUUUUGACAUGGUAAUUUGAGGUUAAUGGAAAAGUAGCGAUAGUCGCCUCCAGCGAAGCUACCUUCUUCGAAAGCUCCGAGGCUGCUUUCUCGCUCUUAGCAAGCCGAUCCCUCGUAAUCAUCGAAGAGUAAGAGACCUACAGAUUUUAAAAACCAAGUUACCAAAAAUAACGAAGUAAAAGACAACACUCGCAAGACAAACCACCAAACUAUCUCAUAAUUGUACCUUCUUUACGAGGUUCGCCUCCAAGUUAAAGAGCUCUUCCAAGAUCAUUGACUUCACAGCUUGCUGAAAAUCUAUGCGCCAAAGGAUAUAGUCGUAAGCAUAAAAUAAAAAUUGGUAAAAACCAAGGACAGCAAAGCCAUCUACAAGCUGUUCUUACCCUCAUACUUUCGCACCUCAACGGCGAUCGGAACAACCUUCUCUCUAGCCUCGCCCUUAGACGCCACCACAAUCUUCCCGCCACACAAAUCCACAACCUGUCCUUUACCUUUGCCCUCUCCCGAAGUCGUCGUGCCCGCCUUCUCCACCCUUUUUGAACCGCCAACAUCUGCAUAGCGCUCGCAACCUUCACCUUCAGCCCCCCAGACCAAAGACAGGUUGUGAGGAUUAUAAACCCUACCUUCGGCGCAUGUAGCUAGAAUCUCCGUGCGCCCGCUCAAGCCCAGACACUCAUUCAGUCCCUGAAGCCCCGCCGGCAACCUCUCACCUACAUCAUAACAUUCAACUUUUAGCCUCACAUGAUCCUCACAACUAACCUUACCAACGCCCCCCAUAGUUUCUUCCAAGUCCUUCAAAAAUUUUGUUGAGGCCUCACCACAAUCAAAGAACCGUAGCAUCGAUAGAAACACCUCUACAUGCUUACCAGAUCUCACAGCUUCGGCACACCCACCCUUUGGAUCGGAUGAGAACGCAUCCACAAGCUUCGCCUUUUCAGUGGCAAACCCCCUCUCAAGUUUCCCAACAUCAGUCAAGAGAUGUUGCGCGCUCUUAAACUUCGAGCUUAUGGAAGGCACCGUGAUCUUGGUACCAGCUGCCGAAGACGCGUCAACCUUGGCACCCGUAACAGUAACAGGAGCAAAUCGAGGUUUCUUGGCGCCUCUUUUGAUCCGCGCAGCGGGCCCGGUGGAUGAAGGUGCAAGAGCUGGAACCUCCUUAGGAGGGCGCAUAGAGACAGGAACAACAUGUGCCGGAUUGCUCAAGUCGCCAGACGAAGCUGUCGACCACGAUGGCAACAUAGCAGACGAAGCCCCCGCGGUCAUUUCCUUCCUUUUUUGCGCCUCCAAAUUCAAGGUCUUUUGCUUCGCCUUAGCGGUCACUUGCAAUUCAAUAGUGAGCUUCACCACGGGUACGAAGUCAAAUUUUGCCUUUUUCCUCUGCUCAAGACUAGCACCGCGACGGCGCCUCUUGCCCGUAACUUUGGGGUGAGGCAGAACCACAAUAUCAUACAAGUCAAAAAUCUGAGAUGAUGACAUUCCAUUUGUAUCCAUGAUUUAUAUUGUGUUCCUUGAAUAUCCAUUAAAGUCUACUUGAAUUGAUUUGCAAUUAUGUGAAUUGUAUGUGAAACUCUUUCCUUGUAUGGUUAUUCUAAAGUUGUCCCUAGUCGGAGUUCAUGUGAGGACACAUGAAUAUUAGACUAGCACAUGUAUUAGAUGAUGACUAUGUUUCACAAGUCAUGGACAUGAAGAUGUGGAACUAAUAAUGUGGGCACAUGUGGAGACACGUGCUAGGACUGACCCAACACGAGAAGUAGUUCUCUCUUUAUACAACAUAUACGCUUUGUCCUUAGACCUGAGAUUGUCGCAUGUACUCAAGAUGUGGAUUGACUUACUUAGGGGCUAUCAAAUUCUACGCCGUAACAGGGUAGUUAUAAAGGUAGCUUUCGGGUUUGUCAAGAAGCAUGCUAUGAGACAUGGUCAAUCAAGAUGGGAUUUGCCCCUCUCUGAUUGAGAGUGAUAUCUCUGGGCCCCUCGAGUGAUCGGAUCCGAAAAUGCAUGGCCAUGCUACAUACGGUUAAGAGUUAGCCUACAAAGGGAUUCCGAAUCAUAGGAUCGAGAAAGAGCGGUCGGCUUGAAGCUAGACCAAAUAUCGUGAGGCAAAGGGAAUAGCAUGUAUAUAAUGUUGUGAUGGUUCGUCUGAUAUGAUCUUCGUGUGCGUAUAGGAGUUGGCACGUCUUGCUAGAGGUCGCUACCGACUAUUGGGCCGAGUAGGAGUACUCAGGCCAUGUCUAUACGUAUCCGAACCCAUAGGGUCACACACUUAAGGGGCUGGAAGCCCAAUUCGGAUGUGAUCCGAAUUGGAUUAGGUUUAGAAGUACUAAUGGGCCUUGGACCCAGAGGUCCGUUAGGAACCUCUAUAAAUAGAGGGGUGGGGGCGCCCUAGGGUUUACACCUUUUUGGUGAAACACAUCUGCCGCGCCUCCCACGCCCUCGCCUGUUGCAACUCGCGGACCUAGCAGUCCGGCUUGCGACGCUUCCUCCCUGCACGUGUGGAUACCUUGGAAGUGUUGCUCCUGCAGCACUUGGACGAGCCGCCAAUGAGCCACGACGAGCCACGAUGAGCCGACGAUGAGCCGCGGCACGAGGGGGAUCUUGCUGCACGUGGACGAGCUGCUGAGGAGCUGCUGGACGUCGAUGUGUUCGACUACGUACGACUACGCUGAUCGACUUCGCUGCAUCAACGCGAAUCUACAUCUUCCGCAUCAUUGCAUCGAGUGGUAAUCCCGUGAUCCUGAUACGGCAGUUUUCCUAGUUUACGCGGUAGAAAAUUUUAUUUUGCGCUAGUGUAGCCUACCUCAUAUCCCAACAACGUGUGCUAUAGGUCACGCAAGCCUGAAAAUGGCCACACCGGACACCGGGUACGAAAACAUGGGGGAUGGACCGAACAUUUGAAAAUGGCCUCCAUAUGUGUUUUCGGCUAUGAAAACGUGUGUUAUAGGUCACGGAAGCUUGAAAACGGCCGCACCAGCCACUAGGGACGAAAACGUGGGGGAUGGACCGAAGACAUAAAAAAUAGCCUCCAGACGCGUGUUCGGCCAUGAAAACGUGUGGUAUAGGUCCUGGAAGGCCAAAAACAGCUACACCGGCCACCUGGGAUGAAAAAGUUUGUGUAAGACCGAACACUUGAAAAUAGCCUCUGGACGCGUGUUCGGCUAUGAAAAGGUGUGUUAUAGGUCACACGAGCCCCAAAACAACCACAGCGAACACCGGCUACAAAAACAUGGGGGAUGGAUCGAAUAAUUGAAAAUGGCCUCCAGACGUUUGUUCGGCCAUGAAAUCGUGCGUUAUAGGUCGCGGGAGCCCGAAAACGGCCACACCGGCCACCGGGAAUGAAAAUGUGGGGGAUGGACCGAAUAAUUAAAAAUGGCCUCCGGAUGUGUGUUCGGCCAUGAAAACGUAUGUUAUAGGUCACGGGAGCAUGAAAACGGCCGCACUGGCCACUGGGGACGAAACGUGGGGGAUGGACCGAAGACGUGAAAAUGGCCUCCAGACGCAUGUUCGGCCAUGAAAAUGUGUGCUAUAGGUCAUGCAAGGCCAAAAACAGCUGCACCAACAACCGGGGACGAAACCAUGGCUGUCAAACCGAACGCUUGAAAAUCGCCUUCGGACGCGUGUUUGGAUAUGAAAACAUGUGUUGUAGGUCACGCGUGCCCGAAAACGUCCACAACGGACACCGGGUACAAAAACGUGGGGGAUGGAUCGAAUAACUGAAAAUGACCUCCGAACGCGUGUUCGGCCAUGAAAACGUGUGUUAUAGGUUGCGGGAGCCCAAAAAUGGCCACACCGGCCACCGAGGAUCAAAACGUGGGGGAUUGACCGAACAAUUAAAAAUGGCCUCCGAUUGUAUGUUCGGCCAUGAAAACGUGUGUUAUAGGUCAUGGGGGCCCAAAAAUGGCCGCACCAGCCACCAAGGACGAAAAUAUGGGGGAUGGACCAAAGACAUGAAAAUGGCCUCCAGAUGCAUGUUUGGACAAAAGUGUGUGCUAUAUGUCGUGCAAGGCCAAAAACAGCUACACCAGCCACCGGGACGAAAACGUGGGUGUUUGACUAAACAAGUGAAAAUGGCCUCCGGAAGCAUGUACGGCUAUGAAAAUGUGUGCUAUAGGUAAUGGAAGGCUAACAAAAGCUACACCGGCCACCGGGGACAAAAUCAUGGGUGUCAGACUGAACACUUCAAAAUGGCCUCCGGACGCGUGUCCGGCUAUCAAAACGUGUGUUAUAGGUCAUGCGAGCCCGAAAACAACCACACUGAACACCGGGUACAGAAACAUGGGGGAUGGACUGAAUAACUGAAAAUGGCCUCUAGACGCGUGUUCGGUCAUGAAAACAUGUGUUGUAGGAUGCGGGAGCCCGAAAACGGCCACACCGGCCACCAGGGCAUGGACCAAACAAUUGAAAAUGGCCUCCGGAUGUGUGUUCGGCCAUGAAAACGUGUGUUAUAGGUCACGGGAGCCCAAAAAUAGCCGCACCGACCACUGGGGAUGAAAUCGUGGGGGAUGGACCGAAGAUGUGAAAAUGGCCUCUAGAUGCGUGUUCGGCCAUGAAAACGUGCGCUAUAAGUCAUGUAAGGCUAAAAAUUGCUACACCGGGACUAAAGCAUCCCCCAUGAGUUACAAUAAAAGGAUUGUAUCCUCUACUCAGUCGGAUGUACUGUGUAGGUGAGAUGGUAAGGAAGCUAUGCGCGUGGUUUGAGGUUGUGGGUUGAAAUCCUACGCACCGCGCGCACACGCGCAUAUUUUGUGUGAAAAAUCAUGUGACUUGUGAUCGGCCAAGGAGAAGUGGGUGCAGCUGUGGCUUAAGUGGCUGAGGCACGCUGCCAUAGACAUCUCCGAUUUGCUCGAAGACUACCAAGACACUAGCAAUAACAAGAACUACUGCUCUUCCUAGCAGACUCUUCACAACCACUUUAAAGCUGUGCAUUUCUCAAUGCAAUUUCGUAGAAGGCAAUCGAUCCAACCACGCGACUAAAUCAUUUGUUCUUGCUAAUGAUGUACAUCAGGUUUUCUAUAUGAAGGACAUGUCUAGCAAACCUAAGAUUUUAGAAGAAAAAUAAAAAUUAUGGGAGUCAAUAAUAAAUCAGGCCAAUCAGGAGAUUAUAGUAAGCUCGAUGGUAUGCCUCCAUUCGAUGUCGAAGUUGGCCCAAGCAUCAUGUUAGCCAAAGAUCAAAUGUUCGUGCAUUGCUACGGUAAAGAUCAAUUGUGUCUUUUAAACCCAUGGAAUUUUUUAUCUAUGUUUUUAUUACACUUAAUGGAUGUCUACACAUUUGCUAGAAAAUCAAAAUAAUUUUGACUUAAUUAUUUCUUUCAACUCAAAUACUCAUUAAAUUUCUACCUUUUUAUUUAAGCAAGAGAGUUGCUCAAAAAAUGGAUACGUAACCAUGUUGUAUCAUACAAAGCAACCACAUUUCACAUAUAGUCUGGCUUAGCAAACACCAUUGUUGUCUUAACAUAGUGUUCAUGAGUUAGUAGACAUGGAUCUAUUUCUAAUUGCAAGUAGUGCAGCGUACAACCAGCCUGCACCGCCGCAGCUCAAUAUGCGAUAAUUUUUUAUCUUCCCAUGUAAUUUUUCUACUCUAGUACAUAUUGAACUCCACAUAAAUGUCAUGUUCUUUCACGCCACAGACGGUUUCUAAAGUUUGGGAACUAAAUAGAUAGCCAAAAAUUUUAAAAAAAUAUUUAUAUGGAUACAUGUAUGUUCUUUGCAAACUAACAAUAUUGUUUACAAUAUCAAAAGGAAUAUGGCUAUGAUCAUUGCCGCAUAUGGCAGGUGAUGGUAGAUGCCGUAUGGGGUUUCUUUAACUUAAUUGUAUAAUAAGCUGAAAUACAUUUUCUAUUUGCAAAUGAAUCAUAGCUGAAAGUGGUGGGAUUGUAGAACCGCCGUCCAUCGUGUCCUUGUAGGACCGCUGCACGAGCCUGUGAGCCACCAGCCACCAUGCGCCCAAGGGCCAUCACCACGCCACAAGAGGAUGCUGUCUACCCGGUUUCGCGCGCCUGUGCUAGCUGCCUGAACCUGGGCCGCCGCCGGUCGCCUGCCCAGCCGCGCGUUGCGCCAGGGUUUUGCUGGUGACGACCAUGGCCUUCGCGAUCAAAUUAAAAAGUUAUCAACUGCAAAGUAUUAGGCCUCGUUGAGCUCUACAAUUUUGAUAUAAAGUUUCUAUUCAUCUGAGAUCAAAUAAAAAAUUUGAUACUCAAAACAUAAAUCCAUUAAUCUAGUCUUGCUAAUCCUUACCACCAAAUAAAAAACUAGCAUGUGUUGUGUGUUUGUGACCCUAAACGAUCACAAAUGAAUAACUUAUGGACCUUGCUAGCGCCCGGAUGUCCAGGCCGGGGCACUAGCAUCAGACCCACGAGUAGCCGUCCGAUCGGGUUCGACACCACUUCAGGAUCUGGCUUAAAAAGAAGUCCCACCGAAACAUUGUUCCAUGUUGCAUGAAGCAACCCACUACCGUCGCCAGGUCUAGAGCAAGCACCACCUUCAAAUCUGCUGCUCACCCUAGCUAAAUAGGGGCAUUAAAAUAUUUCUCGCAUAUCCUUCUCAAAUUAAACAAAAUCGCAACAUCUGAAAAUUUUUACAGAAAACCAUGAAACAUAUCGAUUAGAUAGAUGUAACAAGAUGGAAUAUGGUAUAUGCAACAUAUAGGUUCCGAAAAGCAGAUGAAAUAUUAUGUAAUGAUUCUUGAAACAGUCGAGAAAAAUAGAUGUAACAUCUAAAAUUAAGAAAAGAAGCUUUAUGCAAAUUGCAAAAAGCUGAAACAAGUGGUUGAAACAUUUCAAAUCACCAAAUGCCACAUUUGAAAUGACCAGAUGAAACAUCACGAAAUCAAUUGCAACAGUUGAAGAUGAAAACAUUCAAAUGCCUUGCCUUUCUCCAAAUUUGACCCUCCAAGCAUGAGUCCAGCCAUUUGCACAUUAGACCCUUGGGAGGAGCUCACCGGAGAACAACAAGACCGUGUUAUCCAACAAUUUUCAGAUCAAAUUGCAACAUAAAGAACAAAGCAUUGCAACAUCUGGCAUCACGAGCUACAACAGCAACCAGUUAGGAUCAGGAGAAAGAGGGCAAACACAAGCCUAACAAUGAGUUAUAUCCGGUUUAAACAAGGAUAAAAAUGAGUGUAUUUUACACUCAUCAUGUUGUCUUUUCGCAGCUGUACCGCCUUUAGCGUGUUGUAUUGUUCCUAACACCAAGUCUCCGAGGCCCGAAAAAAUAAGGAAAGUGGUAGCAGCUCAGAAAUCGACUAAGUUUCUUUCCCCCUUUGGCUUUCCUACUAGGAUUCGGAAUCCUCUUUUGUAUGACAAUCUUAAUGAUCUCCCAUAGUCCAAAACUCACAAAAACAUCAAAAAUCCACCGAGAAUAAAUUAAGUAAAAAAACAUGCACACACAGAUAAUAAUAGUAAUCAUGUUUCAUUAUGAUUGCUAAGGUCAGACACAAUACAUAAACAUAUUAGACUGAGUGACCCACCUCACCUCAGAGUAUGCACCAUGUCUGAGUGACCCACCUCACCUUGCCAGGACACUGGUCCUGCCCUCGUGGUUCACGCGCCCUCGUGGUUCAGCAGUGGUCAGUACACAAAUCUAGCUGCCAGUCGGAUCCAAGGGCAGGCAUUUGCAUUGUGGUUGUGUUUGAACAUGGAGAUGUCAUUAUUAUUGUCAGGCACCAUACAUCCUCUCUCAGUUUCACUCCGCCUCACACACGGAUAGCACACCAGGGACCCGACACCAUGCAUGCCGAUUUCAUAUUAUUAAUAUUUAAUUUUUUUAAUGGUUGUUGAAACUAUAUUGUUGAUAUUUUUAUACAUAAUUUACGACCUAAUUUGGAUAUAUUUUUGAAAUAUUCCGAAAUCUUAAAUUCACACGUCUAGAGAUACAGUUAGUCCAAUCUGAUGUUUCCGAUUAUAAAAAUGAACAUAAAGAGAUAGGAAGCGAGAGACGUGAGGGGGAAAGUGAAAUUAGGGCCUAAGGGGUGAAGUUAGGGUUCCAGGUGAGCUGUCAUCACUACGUGUUUUUAAUCGAAAUUGGAAUGUCAGCAAUCGUCAGAUCUUGAGCCAACAGUUGAGACUGCCUCGGAAUGGUAAUUAGGUCUGCGCGAGCUUGCAUUGUGGCCUUCCUUGAAACCUUGGACAUAGGUGUUAUAUUAUUAUGUUCUUGCCAGCACACAGCAGACGACACAGUUGAGAUGUGCAUCACAUUUUCUAUAUGAAGGAUAUGUUUAGCAAACCUAAGAUUUUAGAAGAAAAAGAAAAAUCAUGGGAACCAAAGCGCCACAUAGUUCUUCCAGGUAAAAAAAAAUCAUCCACUAGACCAACACAUAUAGUAACGAUCCAAAAAGUCCAUAUUAAGAUUUUUUGAUAGCAGAAAAAACAUAAAAUGUCUAAUAUUUGUAGUAUUAAAAGGAAAAAUAAUAUAUUCACUUGACCUUUUUCCCGUAGCAACGCACCCGGUACGUGGUCAGACUUAAUGCACGAUGCCUAAGCAUCCAUUGGGCCUACCCUCGUGUGGAUCACGCGCAACAGGACACGGCUCACAAGCUAUGAUGUGCAGCAGUCGCUCAGAUGGCUGAAAGGUACCCUUAAUUUGAUGGUACCAUAUAUAUAUAUAUAUAUAUAUAUAUAAACAAGACAAACCACCGUUGAUACUACUUUGCACUACUUGAUACAUAUAUCUCCACCAAAAGCGAGGCACGUGGGGAGGAGACGAUAUGUGGUUGAUGGUACGGGUACGUGACGAGCGCACCGUACGAAAAUUUUGCUCGCGUCGGACGACUGAUGUGAAGCAUUACCCAAUCUUAAUUAUCUCGCAUAAUCCAAAACUCACAACAACAUCAAAAAUCCGUCGAGAAUAAAUUAAGUAAACCAUGCACACACAGAUAAUAAAAUUGCUAAUAAGGCCAGAGACAAUACAUAAACAUAUUAAACUGUUCAUGACACAUAUCACGGUGGAUAGUGUCUGUGUCCUUAUUACAAGCAAUGAGAGAUGCUUGUCACCACACACACGCACAGAUGCACGACAUACAUAUAGUUGAGACCAACAGAUGGAUCAACUAGAGGUCACCCCAUAUGGUGAACAAUUUAUUGGAGAUAAACAUUAACAUAACUUGGCCAUAGCUUGAAGCAUAGCAACAUAUGCCUAUGAACGGCGUUCAUGCUAUCAUUUUAGGCUUGUCCGCUUCUUCCAUCUUAGCAAGCACUUCCAUUUCUACCAUCUUAGAAGCAACUGUCAAAUUGAGAUAUGGAAAUCCCAUUAGCGCAUGAGUUAAUUUUACAGUGAAAAUAGAGUACAAGAUGUCUUCAUGAUGUAAGUAACAUGCCUGAAGUUGUGAGAUGGGAAGUGAAGUCAACAAAUUACAUUAACGGAAAUGCAUGGAAGGCCACACAUACGUAUUAGUCCAUGAUAUGCUACAAAGCUUGUAUGUACAUAUAGCAAAUUAAAUGCAUUAAUUGAAUAGAGUGAGUUUAGUGAAUUUACCAGAAUCGUCCAGAAAACAUGGGAAACAGCAAGUGUUCUUGCAGACUGCGUCGGUGCCACCCACAGCAAUACAACCAAAACAACAUGCUUUUGCCCGAGCGGCUGAGCAGCAGCCGCACUCUGCCGCGGUGGCCGAGUUAGCAUUGAGGCUCAAGAUGACCAGGCACAUGAUCACCAUCAAAGCGGUAGUCCUCUUUCCCUCCAUUGCCUCCUCUUGCUGCUACCUUCCUUGGUUACCUAGCUAAGUUUAUUGGUUUUGUGUUGAGAGGUGAUUCUUGCAUUGAAUGGACGUUGCCGCGGCUGCAAUUUAUAGGCAGCUGCGCUAUGUGAUGAUAUGGACAAGGUGCAAAUGGGUGGUCCUGAUAUGGAUAAGGUGCAUGCGAAUGGCUGUCUACUUGUAUAGUGUAGCUCCAAUGUACAUACGUAUGUAUCUUAUGCAUGUAUACAGUUGAUGGAUGUACAUGUUUGUUGCACAAAUUCUGAACCAACUCUUCAUAACAGGUCUUUGUUACCAAGUAAUUUUACUUUUGCACGUUUCAGCCGAGAGGCAGAAGAGAAUAUUUUACAGAGAGGGCAGAGAAGGAGGUUGGCGGAGGCGCCGUGGUAGGGUUCCCCGUGUCGCCAAGAUUUUUGCAUUUUACAUGUGUGCAUUGAUCACUUCGUCGUGCUCGCGGGGCCCAACUCCAGGUUGUACCCCAGCAGACCACGUUCUGUUUCUCUGCCUCCAAUGAGCAUGCAUGCCUCCACAAGGACCACAAGACUUAGUAAAAAAGCUAAACUUUGCAACACGAUGUAUACAGAACGUUUUGAAAUGUACUCUCGUUAGGCAUUCACCUCCUUAACAAUCACUGCGACUGUAAAAUAGGUACAUCGACGCUAGCUAAAUAAACCACUAUAAGAUUUAGCAAGAGAUCAUUUUAUACAAUCCUGUAACGAAACAAUUUGACAAUUAUAGUGUCCAUAUAUUUUGACAAAAAAACGUUUAAAUUAUAUAAGGAGGUGGGCCCGAAAACGGUUGGAUUACAUCGAGAACGUUUUGAAACAGUUGGCGGAGCAGGAUUCUGGCGUGGAGCAUCUACAUUGUCGCGCGCGCGGACUGCCGGAGUAGGCACGCUCGACUUGUCCCAUCGCCAGCUAAAUGAUUUAGUACCGGAUGGUCUCUAGUACCGGUUGGAGCCACCGUCCACCGGGAGCUUUCCUAGUUUGGAACUGGUACUAAUGCUAAUAUUAGUAUCGGGUCAAAAACAAUCGGUACUAAGGCUAGGGAUGACACGUCAUUUUUCUAGUAGUGUGUGCAAUUGGUUUUGUAAUUAGUCUAUAUUUAAUACUUCUAAUUAGUAUCUAAAUAUUUUAUGUGAUAGGGACUGAACUUUAGUCCGUGGAACCAAACACCCCAUAAGUAUGUUUGGUGCUGUAAGGAUUUCCUAAGGUUUUAUUUAAUUUCCUAGGCAUUUAAAUUUCUUUCUAAAAUAAGUUAAUGAAUCAUAGGAUCUCAUUGUUGUAUUCAAGCUGGUGCAUUGAUUUUGCCUAUAAAACCCGCUGUGGUCUUCGCAGCCCCCAUCAAACCCUAGCGCCCUUGCCACAAGCUCAGCACCGCUGCCGCCCGAGCUCGAGCACUAGCACCCACCCAUCGUCGUUGCCUUCCCGUCGAUGGGAUCACCGCCCGGAGCUUCGCAUCGUGGUAAGGAAGCCGCCCGUGAAGAUCCCAUGUGCUCCUAUGCCCUCUACCGUGUCCCCGAGUUCCCGAAGUUGCUAGUCUCCUACUGAGCCGACUCUCCGAGCUUCACGUCACCGGUGCCGCUCCGAAGACCUAGUUCGGUUCGCCGUGCACCUCGCUUCAUCCUGAGCUAAACCCCAUAAUGAAUGGUGGCCGGAUGCUCGCCGCCACGGCGCGUCGUCUUUUUUGUUGCCCGUGCAUUGCCUAUCCCCUUCCAGCCGAUUGCAGCUGUCCAAUCGCAAACCGAUGGCCCUGAUCGGAUACCAAGGUCAAUACCGGUCGAACCGAGCCGUGCACUGCUUUUGCAAGAAGGCUCCUGUUUUUCUCUCUUUUUGCACCUGAGGUCCUACGCAGUUCAAAAGUAAUAAGAUCUAGGUCCUUUUUCUUUUGUUUUAGCCCGUGUUCUUUUAUAAAAUCCCGCCCACUAUUCUGUUUGGUCUUUUGACGCGUUAGACCUUCUGUUUAUAUGUUUAAUUAGGUUUUAGGUCUCGAUUUCUUUAAGUUUAGCCCUUGAAAGUUUAGUUCUCUCGCAGUUAAGCCCCUGAACCUUGUUUAGCUCAUAUCUUAAGCGUUUUAAAUCCGUUUUAACAGAUUCUUGCGCCUAUAAGUUCAUGUUGACGCAUAGAUUAGUUGACUUAUAUGAACCUUGCUGAUUAAGCUCCUUGAUUGUGCCUCAGAUCUCGCUAGGGAAGAAUAAUGGAUGGGCUUUGGUUGAGCUUGUAGAUCGACUUGCAGUUGCAGUGAAUGAGCAGAGGAUUGGCAGUGAAUAAGAGGCCGCUGCCCUGCUUGGUAGGGAAAAUAUCUGCUUGCUACCAAGGCCUGUGACGCAUGGACCCCAUUGAGAGUGCAUUAUUGACAAGGACUUAAAGCCAAGGGCUCCACACCUGUCAUUGAUCAGCUGUCUGCUGGGCGCUGCAAGGAGGUAGUGCAUGUUUGACAUAAAGAAGCAGGUGGCCCAGGAUUUACGAAGAAUAAGGAUCUAUUUGAUACCCUUGCUUAUAUUUAGGGGCUAAAAGUUGCUUAUUUGAAGUUGCUUAUUUUUAAUCCUAGCUGUUUGAUUGCAUGGGCUAAAGAGCAUUGAAUGAGGUGGACAUUGUCAUGUUUGCCUCUAAUGAUUACUUCCCAUCACAUUUCUCCCCCCUCAUUCAACGAGGGAAGGAGGUGUAAAGUGCACCUUUUAGCCUCGAUAAGCAACCCUUGUGUUGUUUACGGGCUGAACAUAAGUAGCUAAAGUUUAGCUCCAAUAAACAAGAGUGUUUGGUAUUUUUGGGGUUAAAAGGGGCUAAACUUUAGCUGCUUAUGCAUAAGCAAGGCCAUCCAAAUAGGCCCUAAGUAUGUUUGGCGUUGUAAGUAGGUUUUAUUUAAUUUCCUAGGCAUUUAAAUUUCUUUCUAAAAUAAGUUAAUGAAUCAUAGGAGUUCAUUGUUGCAUUCACGCUGGUGCAUUGAUUUUGCCUACAAAACCUGCUGCCGUUUCCGCAGCUCCCAUCAAACCCUAGCACCCCCGCCACGAGCUCCAGCGCCGCUGCCGCCCGAGCUUGAGCACUAGCGCACACCCAUCGCCGUCACCUUCCUGUCAAUGGGAUCACCGCCCGGAGCCCGCAUCAUGGUAAAGAAGCCGCCCGUGAAGAUCCCGUCCGCUCUCGUGCCCUCUACCGCGUCCCCGAGUUCACCGGAGUUGCCAGGCCACCACCCAGCCGCCUCUCCGAGCUUCAUGUCGUCGUUGCCACUCUAGCUGCCACUCUGAAGACCUAGAUCGGUUUGCCGUGCACCCCGCUUCAUCCUGAGCUAAACCCCAUCAUGCCACGUCAUAGUAAGGAAGCUGCUCAUGAAGAUCCCGUGCGCUCCCGUGCCCUCUACCGCGUCCCCAAGUUCACUGGAGUUGCUAGUCCGCCACCGAGCUGCCUCUCUGAGCUUCACUUCAUCGUCACUGCUCCAGCCGCCACUCUGAAGACCUAGAUGAGUUCACUGUGCACCCCACUUCAUCCUGAGCUAAACCCCAUGACGAACUGUGGUCGGAUGCUCGUUUUCGAGCGAAUUCCGGCGAGAUGGUCACCCGCCGCCGCCGUCUCCGUCGCCCAUGCACCGCCUGUCCCCUUCCAGCCGAUGUCCGGUUGCAAACCGAUAGCCAAAAUCGGAUCUGGUCACCAGGAUUAAUACCGGUCAAACUGAGCCACGUGCGCCGCUUUUGCAAGAAGGCCCCUAUUUUUCCCUCUUUUUGCACCUGAGGUCCUACGCAGUUCAAAAGUAAUUAGAUCAGGGUCCUUUUUCUUAUGUUUUAGCCCAAUUCUUUUAUAAAAUCCCGGCUGCCAUCCUGUUCGAAAUAGAUACGGUUAUAGAUAUGCAAACAUCUGCAUAUUUCCAACCGUAUCUCUUUUGAAUGGGAGACGCCUAACUAGGUUACGUGACAUACGAACAUCAUACGGAUAGAGAGGGGUAGGAUGCCUCACCUUGCUAUCCUACAAAGUGACGACUCGAGGACGGUAAUGUAGCCUCUCCUGCAAAAAAAGAACAUACUACUAUCAAGUUAAAUUUUCGACAGCACCUCCCCUGCACGUGGAGGUUUCCAUAACCUGCAUCAAAUAAAACGGCACGAUGGCUGACAACCACAUCUACAGCACCAGAAUGGCAUGAUGGCCGACUUCCACAUAAAGUUCUUAUACCUUAGAUUGCCAAGUCAAACAUCCUUUUCUAAUUUCUAAAACAAAAGCCCUACCACCUCUCUAUCUUAUUUCCUAUGGGCUNNNNNNNNNNNNNNNNNNNNNNNNNNNNNNNNNNNNNNNNNNNNNNNNNNNNNNNNNNNNNNNNNNNNNNNNNNNNNNNNNNNNNNNNNNNNNNNNNNNNNNNNNNNNNNNNNNNNNNNNNNNNNNNNNNNNNNNNNNNNNNNNNNNNNNNNNNNNNNNNNNNNNNNNNNNNNNNNNNNNNNNNNNNNNNNNNNNNNNNNNNNNNNNNNNNNNNNNNNNNNNNNNNNNNNNNNNNNNNNNNNNNNNNNNNNNNNNNNNNNNNNNNNNNNNNNNNNNNNNNNNNNNNNNNNNNNNNNNNNNNNNNNNNNNNNNNNNNNNNNNNNNNNNNNNNNNNNNNNNNNNNNNNNNNNNNNNNNNNNNNNNNNNNNNNNNNNNNNNNNNNNNNNNNNNNNNNNNNNNNNNNNNNNNNNNNNNNNNNNNNNNNNNNNNNNNNNNNNNNNNNNNNNNNNNNNNNNNNNNNNNNNNNNNNNNNNNNNNNNNNNNNNNNNNNNNNNNNNNNNNNNNNNNNNNNNNNNNNNNNNNNNNNNNNNNNNNNNNNNNNNNNNNNNNNNNNNNNNNNNNNNNNNNNNNNNNNNNNNNNNNNNNNNNNNNNNNNNNNNNNNNNNNNNNNNNNNNNNNNNNNNNNNNNNNNNNNNNNNNNNNNNNNNNNNNNNNNNNNNNNNNNNNNNNNNNNNNNNNNNNNNNNNNNNNNNNNNNNNNNNNNNNNNNNNNNNNNNNNNNNNNNNNNNNNNNNNNNNNNNNNNNNNNNNNNNNNNNNNNNNNNNNNNNNNNNNNNNNNNNNNNNNNNNNNNNNNNNNNNNNNNNNNNNNNNNNNNNNNNNNNNNNNNNNNNNNNNNNNNNNNNNNNNNNNNNNNNNNNNNNNNNNNNNNNNNNNNNNNNNNNNNNNNNNNNNNNNNNNNNNNNNNNNNNNNNNNNNNNNNNNNNNNNNNNNNNNNNNNNNNNNNNNNNNNNNNNNNNNNNNNNNNNNGACAUUCCCAGGCCCGUCAAGUCCAUCACCGCACGCAGUCGAAUCCCGAAAUUUCCGCCAUCUUUUUCCCCUCCCUUCCCUCUCUUUCCCUUCCUUCCUUCUUUUUCCUCCCCUUUCUUUCCCUUCUCUUUUUCCUUCUCUUUCUUCCUCCUCUCCCUUUUUCCUUUUCUUCUCUCUCUUCUUUUACUUCCCUGCCACCUUCCCACUGGCGCUGCACACCCCCCCACUGCCUGGCACGCGCGUCGGGCCGCGCGCCCGCGCCCGCGCCCGCCGCCGCGUCGCGCCGCCCGUGCCACGCCCGCUCGCGCCUUGGCGUCUAGCGCUUGGCUCGGUGCGUCGCGUCGUGUCGCCGGUCACCGGUCGCCGCCCCUGUGGCCUCGUCGACCACGCCGCCACGCCAUCCACGAGCUCCACCACUCCGGCACGCCACCGGUCAAAAGUCCGGCCACCAUCAUUACCUCGGCCCUCGCCCGCCCGUGCGCCGCCUAUAAAAGGGGGGAGCCGAGCCUUCACCUCCACACCCUCACCACGAGCACCUGGCCUUCCUCCACUCCCACCACCAGAGCGCCGACGACCAUCUUCCUCUCAACCUUCUGUUGCCUCCAGGAAGAAGAAGGGGUAAAUCCCUCUCCUUGCGAUCCAACCCACCAAUUUCCCUGAUUCGCGGACAAGUCCUUCCACCAUUCCAAAAAUAAUUACAGAUAGGCCCCUGCUCUCGCGGUUCAGUCCUAAACCCCGUUUUAAAGCCCAUAAUACUCCUUUAAACCGUCAUUUCAUGCGCCAAAUUUCCUCCAAUCCACCCCAAAUUCGACCACAGCCUCCUCUCAUAUAUUCCCGCCGAGGCUUAUCGAAAUUCCAUGAAAAUACCCUGUCUAUCUAUUUUCCGUUCAUGUUUCCUGUUCGGAGCUCAGCGGGUAAAAUCUUUUUCCUUUGUAUUUAUUGUGUGCUCGUUUGUGUGUGCCGUAGAUUGUGGAGUACCCGAGGAGGAGCGCGAGGAGGAGUUCGACCGCGAGCCCGAGCCCGAGGACCCGUACCGCGAGCAGGAGCUCCCGGAAGGCUUUGAGAACGGCAAGUCCAAUCUCACCCUUUGAUGCAUAUUUAAUACCCAGUUUUUCAGACACAACCUAUUGGCCUGUUUUAUAACAUGCAUAUUGUUUUAUCGCAAGACAUGGUUGGAUAGCCACCCCUUGAUUGUUAUGACUAUUCCUUGAUUGUCCCAUAUUUAUCUCUAAAUAUGAGUUACUCUGUUUAGAUGAUAAAUACUGCUAGAAUGCUUAGGAACUCAUUACCCAAAUUCAAACUUGACUACACCUGUUUACUCGGAAAAUAAUGUGUGAGUAUGUUUAACUGAGGAGUUGGGUUUUCGGGUGUAAAGAGAGGUGGUGGAUGAGAUGGAUGGGUGUUUCUUGUGUGGAACGCCGGGUUGAUAGGCUCGUACCUCAGUGGUUGGGCAGAGUGGGAGAUAUCCAUCUUGUCAUGGCUAAGGACCGAGUUGAUGUGUCAUCCUGCCUAAUUCCAUCAUCGUACAACCACUCGACCGUUGUAUGGGCAACGGCUUAGCAUAAAUCCCACUAGCUAAACUGCUAGGCUUCAGGUGUGCUGGUGAGCAACGGGAGGCCUUGGAAACGGACUAAGCUCUUGGUGACUUAGGUCCCGGUUACGGCCCCGUGGAUGGGUUGCUAACCCCUUGAGCGCUCCUAUGUUGACUAGUCAGUGUUGGCUAAGGUGGGUAAUGGCUUUGAUAGGAUCCGUACCGACACUAAGGUGAUCGCGAUACGGUUCCCUACUUGUGGGAAAAGUGUACAACCUCUGCAGAGUUAAAACCUAUCCGGGUAGCCGUGUCCACGGCAUUGGACGAGUUACGGCUCGGUCACACAACUAGCUUUUGGGGAUGACUGGUAUUUUUUUACCGCGUGUGUGGGUGUGUGGAGUUUUGGAAGUGUCCGGCAGGUGUGCCGUGCGCUACGGCGGACGGGGAGUCCGGUAGCGAUAAAACUUGGAUCCUUUGUGUAGGAUCAACCCCACUUGAUAUGUUGUUUACUAAAAAUGUUUUCCAUUAAACCGCUUUGAAAUGGAACCCCGCAUGUGUCUAAAAAGUCAGCUUUACUGCAAAUAAACCAUAGCUUAUUCCUUGAUUAUUCAUAUGCAUAUUCUUGUUGUAUCCCCCUCCGUGGAUGGGGUUGGACUUGCUGAGUACUUUUGUACUCACCCUUGUGUUGUUACUUCAGAGGAGGAUCCGGACUUCGUCGCCGAGGACUUUGAGUAGGAGGUUGCGUCUGCACCCAACGCUGCCUGUGGUGUUGGCCCUUUUGCAGGAUGCUUCCGCUGACGCUUAGCUCCGAUUGCAGCCCGGAGUCCGACUGGACCGCAACUUGGAUUUGUGUUGUUAUCGCUUUAGUCUUGCUUUGGGUGUGGCUUGCCCGCCCGCUCCUUCGGGAGCUGUACGGUUUCUGAACUAUCUGUUGAAUAAAUGUGUUAUCAGCCUCCUGGGACUGAUAAUUUGGAUCACAUUUAGUCUCUACUUAUGUGGGGACGCUUCACCGUGACAUACUUUGCCAAGUGUGUAGCGAAAACACUCGGCAAAAUAUUAUCUUUACCGAGUGUUUUCACUAGAUACUCGGCAAAGUACACUUAUAUUUCAUGUACACUUUUUCAAUAACGUGUUUUACUAACCUUUUUCUGAUAUACUUGGGAAAAACCUUGUCAAAUUCACUCAACAAUGGAUAUAUGAUUUUUCUAUUGAUAUUAUUCCAUUAUUUCAUUCAGUUAUAGCUCAAAUUGAAUUUAUAUCUAUUAAAAAUCAAUAAUUGCAUUUAAUAAAUAAAAAUACCAAACGGAUCCGAAAAAUUUCCAAAAUUUGACAUGAACCAAUCUAUGUUGUAUGUUGCCUGUACAAAAAGCUUUGAAGUCAAACCCCAAUUCAAGUGUCACUUGGACUCCAAAUCUUAUCGGAUCCUUUCUAACUUCUAUGAAUCCUUUUGGGAGAUGAGUCGGUUUGUAAGCAUCAUAUGUCAGAAAUUGGGCGAAACCUUCUCAAUUUUUUACCACAGCCUCCACAUAUAAUAUCAUGACACCUUGACAAAUCUUAUGAUUUUCAGACUUCGUUUGCUUUUUCUAGAAUUUAACAACCAUUCAACCACAUGUUCGUGAUCGUGUUUUCUAAAAAGAAUGUUCAAAAUUUCUUUUCAUUUCCUGGUUGAGACCUCAAUCCGGAUUGAAUAAUAUGAAUAUGAUUUUUUCACUGAUUUUAAUCCAUUAUUUAAAUCACUUGCAGUUAAAAUUUGACUUAAAUAAACAAAUUCCUAUUAAUGCCAUCAAUUCAUUAAAAAUGGCAAACAGACAAAAAAUAGACCAACUUUUAAGAUGGAUUACCAAAUGUCAUAUAUGGGGAGUAGAAAAAGUGUGGAGAGCAGAGGUGGAAAAAAAAGUUUUGCCUUUGCCAAGUGCCUACACAAACACUCAACAAACUUUGCGGAGUGCCUAUUGAAAACACUCAGCGAACUUCUGAGUUUGCCGAGUGUCUAGAGGGAGCACUCGGCAACCUACUUAUUUGCCGAGUGUCCGCGUCGGACACUCAGCAAAGUACUAACGGCUGGCACACUCCCCUAACGGACGGCGCACGUGCGAGCCAUGUGCUGGAGAUUUAUCGAGUGUCAAAUCGUUGCGAGUGUCGUGUGGAUGUUUGUCGAGUGUCUUAUUUGCGACACUCGGCAAAGCUAUUGUUUGCCGAGUGUAUUAUUUAUGCCGAGUGUCUUCCAGUAUACACUCGGCAAAUGAUGUCUUUGCCGAGUGCCCGACAUAAAGCACUCGGCAAAAAUUUUACACUCGGCAACGUUCCUGUUUCCGGUAGUGAGUGACCCGGGACUAAAGACCCCUCUUGUCUCUAAUUGCUUUAUUCCGGAUGGAUUUUCAGGAGAUUUGCUCCCUACCUAGGCAAGUUUUCUACUUUUCGCAAACCAGUUAGCCCAUUGUUGAUGGGACGCAUCACUAGAAACAGCUCGGGAUCCACUUGUCCAAUAAUCGAGAGGGCCUAUAUGGACCACGUGUGCGGAUCCCUAAUUAGGAAAAAAGAAUAAUGGAGUAGGACAUCUCCAUGCUCACCUAGUAGCCGCUGCUAGCUUGUGCGUGUGGAACACGAGUGCCGGCCCAGUUGGCGCUAAGACAUCGUACGUGCAUUAAGGCUACGAUCUCUUCCUUCUAACUCAUGCUUGUGCUAUUAUACAUUAUUGCAUGAUCAUCAAGAUAAGAUCGUAUAGUGACUGAGUGAGACAUGUGUGUACUAACGUGCAUUUAAGCCUCGAACUGUGUGUUGUUACGUGAGCUGCCUCCUCACCUCGCCUCUGAAUUAUUGAACCGUUUCCAACAGUGUUGGUCUCAAAUAAAUUUGACACCAAACAUAUUUAUGAAGAAGAGAGAAUAAUACUUGGAAUUGGAAAAAGUUUAUCUCUCUUUACAAUGGGGUAGGGCUCCCCUUUUAUAGUGACCCAUGAGCCACUUUACAUUUGGAAAAUAUCCUUCCUCAACCACUACAUUAAUUCCUAGGAUAUGCCGUACAUAAAGGUCAUUUGAGGUAACGUGUACAAAUUGAACUCUUCCACAUGGUCACGUUUCUCAUACCUCCUGUUUUCCAACCUCAGAGACAUCAUCUUCACGCCAAGUUGAUCAUCUAGCCUCAAGGCUCCAUCCACGAUCCGGAAUGAACGUCCAGCCUUGAGGCUCCUUCUUCGUUAAGCUUUGUUGAGAACUCAUAACCUCACAUAGUUCUCCUCACUGGUAGAGAAUUGACCUUUAGUCCCGGUUGGUAGGGUGCAUAUCUCUCGGAUAUCCAUCCGGGAUAAACCAACCGGGACAAAAGGGGGGGUCUUUAGUCCCGGGUCACUCAACCGAGACAAAAGACCCCCUUUUAUCCCGGUUGGUAAUACCAACCGGGAUAAAAGGGGUCACCCACGGCCGGCAGCUGCAAAAAAAAAAAAAUUCCUGAGCUCCCGGGAGGCCCCCCACACGCGCAAGUCACAAGUCACAAGUCACGCAAUUUUUCACGCGAAAUAUGCGCGUGCGCGGUUCGUGGGAUUCGAACCCACAACCUCCAGCCUCGCGCGUAGCUUCCUUGCCAUCCCACCUACACACCACAUCUGACUAUGUAGGGGAUACUAUCCUUUUGUAUUAACUCGUGGGGGACCCUUUUAUCCCGGUUGGAAACACCAACCGGGAUAAAAUGCCUCUCAGAGUCUUUUUUUCCCACUAGCCUUUGCAACCGGGAUAAAAGGUCCCGGUUGGUGAGCCCCCCACCAGUGACCGAGUUUUAGUCCCGGUUGGUGAACCUUUUGUCCCGGGCCAACUUUAAACCGGGACAAAAGGGGGCGGAUGGAAAGUCGUUUCUCUACUAGUGCCUCCGAGUAUUGUUCCCGACUUAGAACACUCGAGGUUUAGCUCAGUUGGAGUUUAGCUAUUACUGUUGCCAGUCACCAGCCUCGAGCCCCUCCAGAAGCAAGGUGAUGCGAGAGUACAAGUUUUACUAUUAAAGGUGUUUCCAUAUAAUGUGCGAGGUUAAAGCACUUGCAGCAAAAGCGUGGAGCUGCUUUCAACCAGAGUGCAAUAAUGCAGCCGUGCCCGUCUUGGUCUUGGUCUCCGCCUGAACUAUAGCAGAUGCUGGCAGCGGUAGCAGGGUGGUCCAUUAUAUCUAUGGAUGGCAAUGGUCAGAUUCGGAUGGAAUCAAAUUCGAAUAGCACUUUUUACCACGUACUAAUUCAAAUCCGAAUUCGGAUUCGGAUGUUCUCGAAUGCGAAUACAAAAUGGAUGGUUCGAAUUCGAAUACUUAGCGGAUUUUUGCAUAAUAUUAAUCGAAUAGAAUUCAUUAAAUUUAGCUAAGAAAUUAAAUUUUCCAAAUUCAAAUACUUUGCGGAUUUUCGAAUACAAAUUUUUUCAUACGAUCUCGGUGAAUACAAACUUUAUAACUAAGUUGCAUAUUUAGAUUGUAUCUAACACUUUGUACUUGACAUCCUUUUCAUUUAAAAUUGUUUAAUAGCUCAAAACAUUAUUCUAAGCUCUCUAAUUUCAAAAUCUUGAAUUUUAAAUUUUUCAAACGACCUCGGAUGCAAACAAACUCUAUAUCAAAGUGGUAGUGCUUAAUGAGAUAUAAAUUUUGUAGUUGAUAAGUUUUUCAGUUGAAAUCAUAUAGUUACCGCAAACAUACAAGUUCUUCAUUUGAUGUUAAGGAUUGGAAGGGUUAAGUUUGAAGAAUAUAUUUUUUUACCACAAACUUUUUCAUAUGAUCUUGGAUGAAUAUGAACUUUAUUUUAAAGUUACAGAUUUAGAUUAGAUCAAAACCAUUAUAGUUUACAAAUUUUUCAUUCAAAAUUAUUAGUAGCUCAAAAUGUUAUUAUAAGCUCUCUAAUUUCAAAAUCUUGAAUUUUAAAAUUUUCAAACGACCUCAGAUGCAAACAAGCUCAAUAUCGAAGUGGUAGUGCUUAACGAGAUAUAAAAUUUUGUAGUUUCAUCUGAGAUCAUUUAGCAGUCACAAACAUACAAGUUUUUCAUUUGAUGCUAAGGAUUAGAGAGAUUAAAUUUGAAGGUUGUAUUUUUUAAUACAAACUUUUGCAUACGAUCUCGGAUAAAUACAAACUUUAUAUCAAAAUUGUAGACCUCCAUGAGAUUUUAAACUUUGCAGUUUACAUAUUUUUCAUUCGAGAAUGUUUAGUGGUCCAAAAAUGUAUUAUAAGUUCAGAGAAGAAACACACGUCUAGGCACAUCAUCAAUCCACAACUUUCAAACCCAGCAUUCCUAUUGACUCACACCCUUCCCUUUCAACUUGUCAAGCUUAUCUCCUCCCACUCCUCCAUGGUUCACUCCACCUACCCCUCCCUCCCUUCGCCCCAGCGGCGGCCUAACUCCCAGGACGGUGGCGUGCGGGGCCCGAGCAUCCCUGGCCUCUAGUGGCGUGGCGGGGCGGCAUCCAGCAGCAGCGGCGGGGCUCGGCCUCCGGUGGCGCGCGGCCAGCCCGACCUACCCGGUCAGAGGUGGCGCAGCGGUGCGCGGGCCUCCCCGACCAGAGCCGGUGGGGAGCGGUGCGCGGGGAGGACCUCCCCAGCCGGAGGUAGCAGGGCGCGACCUCCCCUUCCGGAGGUGGCUCCCUGUGGGGGCGCGGCCGUGACAGCUAGCGAGGCAAUAAUUGCUUCCGUACGCAGCAAUAAUUGCUCGUGCGACACCGUGGUACAGUACUCCCUCCGUUGCAGUACACUGGUCCAGGCGUCAGGACACUGGUCCUGCCCUCGUGGUUCACGCGCAUCAGGCCAGCAGACAAGCUAUGAUGUUGCCCUCGUGGUUCACGUGCAUCAGGCCAGCAGACAAGCUAUGAUGUUGCCAACAGUGGUCAGUACACAGAUCUCGCUAUCAGUCGGAUCCAAGGGCGCAGGCAUUUGCAUUGUGGUUGUGUUUCUUGGAACAUGGAGAUGUCAUUGUGAUUGUCAGGGACCAUGCAUGCCGAUUUCAUAUUAUUAAUAUUUAUUUUUUCAAUGGUUGUUGAAACUAUAUAGUUACUCCAAUAUCACGUUUCCGAUUAUAAAAGUUAACAUAAAGAGAUCGGAAGGGAGAGCCGGCAUAAUGAAGCCGACGCGUAUAAUAAGCACUACAGCCGGCAUUUAUACAAACGGGUACGCAUAGUAAAAACUAGAAUUUAUAAAUAAAUGAAGAUAUUCAAAUAUCUGCCUUACUUUUUUCAUUAAUUUUGCAUGAAUAAGGGAUGAUUCAUUAAUCAUUAUUGAACAAAUUGGCACACAUGCUUCGUGCCCGCGUUGGGAGCAUUAUGCGAUGCCACCGAGCUGCACCACCACGGUAGAGGGCCUGUUUGGGAAGGGGUGUUAAAGUUUAACACCCCCCAUUUAACACAUUUUUAACAAAAUGGCUGCCAAACACUUGUGUUAAAAGAGUAGUGUUAAAAUUUAACACCUCUCUUUUCAUAAACACAUGGAGGGGGUGUUAAAAUUUGCUAAAUGUGUUAAAAGUGGUCCCCUCCCCACUUAUUCCUUGGUUGCCCCCCCCUCUCUCCUCCUCUCUCUCCUACCCGCCGCAUUUAAGAGCAUUAUUGAGGGGUAAUGCAGUCCUUUUCCAACAAAAGUGUUAAACUUUAACAACCCAUCCAAACAUCCCACAUGUGUUAAAGUUUAACACCUCAUUUGAGGGUGUUAAAGUUUAACACCCUGUUAAACUUUAACACCCCUUCCCAACUUAACACCCCUUCCCAAACAGGCCACAAGCAACACCACCGGCUGACUGUGCUAGCGGGGAGCACCCUCACCGCCUGCCCGUGGGGACUUCUUCUGCCGGCCAUCGUGUCUUUGUAGGACCGCCGCGCGAGCCUGUGAGCCACCGGUGGCCGUGCGCCCAAGGGCCAUCACCAUGCCACCUGAGGAUGCUGUCUACCCGGUGCCGCGUGCCUCUGCUAGCUGCCUGCACCUGGGCCGCCGCUGGUCGCCUGCACAGCCACGCGUUAUAGCCGCCCCCCUGUGCUGGGCCACCCCAUUUCGUGUUGGAAGAACUGCCACAGUCUCGCGCACUGGGGUUUUGCUAGUGACGACCAUAGCCUCCAAGAUCAAAUGAAAAAGUUGGCACUCAAAAUAUACAUCCAUUAAUCUAGUCGUGCUAAUCCUUACCACCAAAUAAAAACUAGCAAGUGUUGUGUGUUUGUGACCCUAAACGAUCACAAAUGAAUAACUUAUGGGCGUUGCUAGCCUAUAAGUUAUGGGCGUUUGUGACCCUAGUCGCGCCGGGGUCUUGCUGGUGACGACCAUGGUCUUCGCGAUAAAGUAUUAAGUCUCAUCGAGCUCUACAAUUUUGAUAUAAAAUUUCUAUUCAUCCGAGAUGAAAUGAAAAACAAAUGAAAAAAUCCGAAGUAUUAGGCUUCAUCGAGCUCUACAAUUUUGAUAUAAAAUUUCUAUUCAUCCGAGAUCAAAUGAAAAAAUCCGAGAUCAAAUGAAAAGUUGGAACUCAAAACAUACAUCCAUUAAUCUUGAUAUAAAAUUUCUAUUCAUCCGACAUCAAAUGAAAAAGUUGGCACUCAAAAUAUACAUCCAUUAAUCUAGUCGUGCUAAUCCUUACCACCAAAUAAAAAAACUAGCAUGUGUUGUGUGUUUCUGACCGUAAACGAUCACAAAUGAAUAACUUAUGGGUGUUGCUAGCAUCCCGGACGCUAGCAUCGGACGCAUGAGCAGCCGUCCGAUCGGGUCCGACACCACUUCACGAUCUGUCUUAAAAAAAAGUUCCACCGAAACAUUUUUCCAUGUUGCAUGAAAUACCCCACUAUCCAUCGCCAGGUCUACAGGAAGCACCACCUUCCAAUCUGCUGCUCACCCAAGUAAAUAGGGGCAUUAAAAUUGCAGAAAUAUGUCACAUAUCCUUGUCAAAUUAAACUAAAUCGCAACAUCCAAAAAUUUCUUACACAAAACCAUGAAACAUAUCGAUUAGAUAGGUGUAACAAGAUGGAAUAUGGUAUGCAACAUAUAGAUUCCGAAAAACGGAUGAAACAUUAUGUAACGAUUGUUGAAACAGUCGAGAAAAAUAGAUGUAACGAUUAAAAUUUAGAAAAGAAGCUUUAUGCAAAUUGCAAAAAGCUGAAAUAAGUGGUUGAAACAUUUCGAAUCACCAAAUGCCACAUUUGAAAUGGCUACAUGAAACAUCACGAAAUCAAUUGCAACAGUUGAAGAUGAAAACAUUCAAAUGCCUUGCCUUUCUCCAGAUUUGACCCUCCAAGCAUGAGUCCAGCCAUUUGCACAUUAGAACCUUGGGAGGAGCUCACCAGAGAACAACAAGACCGUGUUCUCCAACAAUUUUCUGAUCAAACUGCAACAUACAAAACAAAGCAUUGCAACAUCUGGCAUCACGAGCUACAACAUCAACAAGUUAGGAUCAGGAGAAAGAGGGAAAACACAAGCCUAACAACCCCAAGACGAAACUGAUGUACUCAUCAUACAUCACGGCUUGCCGUGCACAGAGAUGAAGGCCGCCAAGCUCAAUCGAAACAGAGACGACGUGAUAGUGCUCCAGAUCGACGGUCCCCAUCAAUUGUUGCGUACACUGCCAAAAGCAAUGGAAGAAGAAGGGUCGUCCCUGCUCGACCUCCGUAGAUGAGCGCAGAUUGGGGGAAACUGUAUAGAGUGCCGCUGACAGCACAGGCGAGGGGGCUCAGGCUUGAUUCAGGGUGAGGGUAGCGGGUAGCAUGAGGAGACAGUCAGGUUUCAUAGGAGAGAGGUGGAGGAGAGAGCUCUGGUGACUCGGUGAGGAGGGUGCGGCACGGAGAAAGGUGUGUAGCUGAAGGAGCUACAUGGUUGGGGGGAGGCGAGCGUAGAGACCAGAGAGGGAAAAAAAGCAUGGGGAGGAGACGAUAUGUGGUUGAUGGUGCGGGCACGUGGCGAGCGCACCGUACGAAAAUUUUGCUCGCGUCGGAUGACUGAUGUGAAGCAUUACCCAAUCUUAAUUAUCUCCCAUAAUCCAAAACUCACAAAAACAUCAAAAAUCCGCUGAGAAUAAAUUAAGUAAACCAUGCACACACAGAUAAUAAAAUUGCUAAUAAGGCCAGAGACAAUACAUAAACAUAUUGGACUGUUCAUGACACAUAUCACGGUGGAUAGUGUCUGUGUCCUUAUUACAAGCAAUGAGAGAUGCUUGUCACCACACACGUGCGCACAGAUGCACGACAUACAUAUAGUUGAGACCAACAGAUGGAUCAACUAGAGGUCACCCCAUAUGGUGAACAAUUUAUUGGAGAUAAACAUUAACAUAACUUGGCCAUAGCUUGAAGCAUAGCAACAUAUGCCUAUGAAUGGCGUUCAUGCUAUCGUUUUAGGCUUGUCCAGCUUCUUUCAUCUUAGCAAGCACUUCCAUUUCUACCAUCUUAGCAGCAACUGUCAAAUUGAGAUAUGGAAAUCCCAUUAGCGCACGAGUUAAUUUUGUAGUUGAAAUAGAGUGCAAGAUGUCUUCAUGAUGUAAAUAACAUGCCUGAAGUUGUGAGAUGGGAAGUGAAGUCAACAAAUUACAUUAACGGAAAUGCAUGGAAGGCCACACAUACGUAUUAGUCCAUAAUACGCUACAAAGCUUGUAUGUACAUAUAGCAAAUUAAAUGCAUUAAUUGAAUAGAGUGAGUUUAGUGAAUUUACCAGAAUCGUCCAGAAAACAUGGGAAACAGCAAGUGUGCUUGCAGACUGUGUCGGAGCCACCCACACGAAUACAAAGCUGACAACAUGCUUGUGCCUCGUGGGAUACGCAGCAGCCGCACUGUGCCGCGGUGGCCGAGUUAACAUUGAGGCACAAGAUGACCAGGCACAUGAUCACCAUCAAAGUGGUAGUCCUCUUUCCCUCCAUUGCCUCCUGUCGCUGCUACGUUCCUUGGUUACUAGUAAGUUUAUUGGUUUUGUGUUGAGAG
rnacentral:lncRNA from 1 species